rnacentral:rRNA from 1 species
GGAAAUCUCACCAGGCCCGGACACUGGAAGGAUUGACAGAUUGAUAGCUCUUUCUUGAUUCGGUGGGUUGUGGUGCAUGGCCGUUCUUAGUUGGUUGAGUGAUUUGUCUGGUUAAUUCCGUUAACGAACGAGACCUUAACCUGCUAAAUAGUGACGCGGUUCAUCGAACCGUGGGCCACUUCUUAGAGGGACUAUCGGAUUCAAACCGAUGGAAGUGUGAGGCAAUAA